rnacentral:rRNA from 1 species
AUCUUAUAGAAGUAAUAAUUGUAGGUGAGCUCUGCCCUAUGAAUUUUGUAGUAAUUUUAAAUGGCCGCAGUACCUUGACUGUGCUAAGGUAGCAUAAUAAUUUGUCUUUUAAUUAGAGACUAGAAUGAAAGAGUUAUUCGGGUUAAUUUAUGUCUUAAGUUUUAUUUAUAAAAUUUACUUAUUAGGUGAAAAUUCCUAUAUUUGUUUAGACUAGACGAGAAGACCCUUAGAAUUUAUUAAAUAUUUAUUGGUAGUGUGAUUUGAUAGUAGAUAUUAUACUAUUUAGAUACACCUCUGUUUCGUGCAGUUAUUUUUUUGUUGGGGCAACAGGUAAUAUUUUGUAGUUUUUGAGGAGAUAUUUAGGAUAUCAAGUUAUAUGUAUUGAUAAAUUAUUAUAUUGAAUUGUUUUUUGUCUAACAAGUAGAAAGAUAAUUAUUUUAAGAGUGAUGAAAUUACCUAAGGGAUAACAGCUUAAUUUAUCAGAUAAGAUUAAGACCUCGAUGUUGGAUUAGGGAGCUUCAAAAAUGAUUAAUUAAUUAGUUAACAACUUAGUAGCAUAGUUCUGUUCGAACUUUAAUACCCU